rnacentral:lncRNA from 1 species
CUCGAAUUUAAACAUCAGCCUGAGAGCAAGCAGUGCUUGGGAAGGAUGGAAUGAAGAGUACUAAACACAGAAAUCAUUAUCUGAAGCCCUGAAGCUGUUGCUACUUGUAUCCAUCAGUUUCCAAGCACCGAUUUGGGCAGAAAGCUCUGUUCUGUCAUUUGAACAAUAGCCAGAGAGUAAACCACCUUCUACUGGACUUAGGCCAUUCAUCUGUUUUUGAAACUUCCAGUUAAAAUGGCUUUUCAGUAUGGGUGUGCUGGUGUGUACUCACAGGAUUUUAUGUGAUCAGAGGGACUGGAUGAUUCACCCAGCAGCAUGGUGAUCCACACCUUUGUCAUUGUAUAACCUUCACAUGGUCUCUUUAUCUUGGAAAUGCAGUGCUGCAUUUGUCUUGUGGAAACCCAUUCACAGUAAGUGGUAUAGUGAAUCCUCAUCUAUUCGAUGUCCUCAUCUAUUCUAAGUCCAUUUAGCUUAUGGAAACUGCAUCUGGCACUUUGCAGAACUCAAAGCAAUGAUAAUUUAGCACAGUUAAUUAUUUUUCGGUAUGUCAGAAAAUAGACAUUCUCAGAGCAUCUGAGUGCAUUGUACUGUGGUGAUGGUCAUGGGAUGUGGAGGUCACUGUAACUCACUUCCCCAAAUUCAAGUGUGAGUCAGGAUGCAAAGUCAGAAACUGAAUUGUGUAUAGAGAAUUCUCAGUCAUACUAAAAUCUAAAUUUGAAGGAGCAGUUUCUGAUUUGCCAAGAAGUUAGAAGGUCUAGACAUAGCAUCCAUCUGUCCUUUUAUUUGCACAACUAUCCAUCCAGGCUUCCUUUAACUUAUUCUUCCAUAUUAAAUAAUCUCUGAAGAUAAGGUAAAAUCACUCAUUUUCUCUGACAUAAUCUAAACAAAUUUGCAGGGCCCAAUUUUUGCCUUUAAAAACUACAAGGCAUGAAGACCUGUCAGGUGUCUGAAUUCAGACUAAAGAAAGUGUUCUGUUUAUUUUUAAAGAAAAAAUGAAAUCAGUGAAAUCACUAAAAAUAUAAAUUAAAUUUUAAAAUCAAACAAAAGCAUUAUCUUAAAUGUGUUUGCAGUGAAAGCCAAAACAGCCAAGAACAAAAACACAAAACAAUACAAUACAGAAGGCCAUUGCAUGCUGUACAGUAGAAAAAAAAAUUGUUUUUGGGAAAUAACAAUAAAAAUCAUUUUUUAAAAAGGGCAUUACAAAAGUAAACAUUUUAAAGGGAUUUUUGGAAUUGUUUAUGUAUGCAUGAUACAUUUAAUACUUUAAUAGUUUUUUUCAAACUAUGUUUCUUUGAAACACUGAUGUUCAGCUGAUUGGAGUGAGGUCAUCUACGCGUGAAUCAUAACUGUCACAUUUUCUCAACUAUACGGUCUUAUUUGUCACCAGUACACAAGGACGUAAAUACAGAAAUUGAGAGUAAACAGUUGGAAACUUUGGCAAAGUAAUUUAACGUCUGUUUAAUUAGAUAAUAAAAGUAAAUGGGGUUUGUUUUUCUUUAUCUUUGCUUUUUAUUUAUCUUUGCUUUUUAUUUCAUUUUCUAAUAAUUCCUUUAUAGCACAUUUUAGUAAAAUAUCAGUCUGUGCUGAAUUGAAAAUAAAACAAAACAAAGCAAUGACAUCAACAAAAAAAUCCAUCUCAUUAGUUAGAAGAGCAUUGUUCUAGAGUUCUCUUGAUUAGUAUGGAGUUUAAAAAUAAGUGUGUUUUCAGAAGCUCCUCAUCUCCAUGGUGCAAACUUGUACCCAUUUGACACAUUAAUUUGUUUCAGUGCAAGGCUAAAGGUAAAAGUGCCUCCUCGAAGAUGUUUUCACUUAAAGCCUAUUUACUCUUCUGGUUUUUAGAAAUAAUUUUAAAUAGAGAAAAUACUUAUUUUAAAAACAUUUUCUUCUGACAAAGUAUGCCUGAGCCUUUGACUUGACAUUGUAUGGCAGCCUGUAAGCCCAUGAUGAUGAUAAUAAAUUUUAGUACAAAAUAGCUUCUUUUCCUGGCAGAAUAACAUCUUUGCUGAUAUAGGUGACAUACUGUCUUAGUGGUACUGCUAGUGAGGGGGCUGCCUGAUUGAAACUGCAUAAAACUUUGCCCUUAGUGGCCUGCUCCUCUGAUGGGCCACUGCUUCCUGAGGCUGACUCAUCGCCCAUAAGCAGAGGUGUCUGAGGGCCUGUCAAAGCUUUUGCCACAUUUGGGCUGCAGAGAGCCCAAGUCAUCUAGGGACCACUGAGAUUUUUGAAUCAGAGUUUCCUGCUGGCCUGUUAUAAACAGCAUCUCCUCAGGGUCCUUAUUAAAACACAGGGGUGCCUCACAAAUAAGGCUCUCGAGUAUGGCCAUGAAUAAUGACCCUACUUCAGGCUGAAUUUGGUAUGUUUCAACUAAAGUCAAGAUUUUUCUAAUAAGGAUUGAUGAGACUGGCAUUCAAAGGAAAUUCAGCUGUGGGGGUACUGGAGCUUCUGUUUAAAGUCCUCCAUAAACCCAGACUGUUCCUCAUCACAUCCUAUGGAGAUCCUUUAAGGGGAAGACAUCUUUGAAAUUCCUGGGAGUUCCUAUAUUUGAUCAGCUUCAUGGGGCAUGGGACAGUAUAAAGACAGGAUAGGAUGCCAGCAAAGAACAGCAAGUAGUGAAUGGAACCAACACAGUGCAUACUCUUCUCCACAUUUGGGUGAGGAAAUUAUUGCUUUCCCUUCUGUUAUGGACUCAAUAUGUCCCCUCAAAAUUCAUGUUUUGGGGUCUACCCCCAAAAUCUCAGAAUGUGACCAUAUUUGGAGGCAGGCCCUUUAAAGAAGAAAUUACUUUAAUAUGAGGUGAUUAGUGUGGGUCCUAAUCCAGUCUGGCUGGUAUCCUUAUAAGAAGAGGAAGAGCAUGCCAGGACAUAGCCAGAAGGCAAGGGGAGAGACAUCCAAACAAACUAAACUUGCUACCUGGGUGGCUUAAGCCUUCAGAAUUAUGAUAAAUAAAUUUCUGUUGCUUAAGCCAUGGUCUCUGGUAUUUUGUUAUGGCAGCCCUAGCAAAUGACUAUGCUUAGGUAGGCUGACCCCAGGUGAGACUAUGCUCUACUUUUGUGUUUCAUGUUGUUUGAUCUGAAGAUGAAAUACAAAGGCCUGUGAGUAAGGAUGUGAAUAUAAGAGAAUACAUGUGAUGUGAAGGUUAAUUACUGUGUCUAGAUCUGCAAGCCAUGCAGGUUCAUUACUGCUCAGUUCUGCUCUGUAUGUAGAGAGAAUAGUCCACCUUUUCAAGGACAACUCGAGUUUGAUGAAAUUAAUACCCUAAGGAGCUACCCUUGUAUCUCACACCUGCCAUAGCAUGUUAAGGGCCAUAUACAAGUAAGAGAAGUGAUAUAUGGGGAUUUUUCUUGGUGGAUAUCAGUGAAAAGAGUAAGCUUUGAAACUCUGGUCAUGGAAUACAGCUUCUAAGGCUAAAAUGUGAACAGAGAUUAAUGAUGGUCAAAUAUGUCCUCAGAAUAAAACGCCUUCCUCCCAUAGUUGAAAUCACCUUCCCAUUUCCCUAUUUAGGUCGGUCUUUUUCUCCCUACUUCUGACUUUUGGCUAAUGGGAAAAUGUGUCAUACUUAUUAUUACUGUAGAAGGAAAUGUCAACUGUGUUUCAGCAGCCACUAAUGUAUUAAUUAAUUUAUUCAUUCAACAAAUAGGUAUUUAGUAACUACUAUAUGCAGAGCAUUAUGAUAAAUUCCUGGGAUUGUUGUCCUUGUGUAUAUGAAGUUAAAAUUCCAAAGUGUCUGAGAGGGAUAUGAGAGUUGGGAAAUGGAAUCCUUCAAGAAAUCCAUCUAAUACAUAUAAUUACAAUUGAUUCUCUAAGAAUAAAAUAUCAGACAUGAGAACUUUUUGUAGAAUGCCUAAGUGAUUAGAAUAAAAAGUCCAGUGAGGAACUACUGGAAGACAGCUCCAGCAAGGAGAAACAUAAAAAUAACAAGACAGAGAUGCAUGGGUUCAAAGACUAGAAGGUAGAGUGUGUAUUAAACAAAGGAGAUGGAGAAUGAUAGAAACUGAUGUCAGCCUUGUCAGACUGAGUCAUAUAGUUUGAAGUUACUCUAAGAGCACUUGAAGGCUAUUGAAGGGUUUUAUGGAGGCAUGUUAAUAUUUUAAUUUUUAUUUUAUUCCUUAAUUUUUAUUCUAUGUUUAUUAGGGUAUAGUUUGAUUUACAGUAUUGGGUCAAUUUCUGUUGUAUAGCAUAGCAGCUCAAUCACAACCAUAUAUACAUUCUUAUUCUCAUACUGUCUUCCUUCAUGUUCUAUCCCAAAAGAUUGGAUAUAGCUCCCUGACUGUAGAGUAGGACCUCAUUGCCUAUCCAUUCUAAAUGUAAUAGUUUGCAUUUACUAACCCCAGAUUCCCUGUCCAUCCCACUUCCCCCGCUUUUCCCCCUUGACAACCACAAAUCUGUUUUCUAUAAAAGUUUGCGAGUCUGUUUCUGUUUUGUAGAUAGGUUCAUUUGUGCCAUAUUUCAGAUUCCACAUAUGAGUGAUAUCAUUUGUCUCUUUCUGAAUUACUUCACUUAGUUAUGAGUCUCUAGUUGUAUCCAUGUUGCUGCAAAUGACAUCAUAUUUCUUUUGUAAGGAUGAGUAGUAUUCCAUUGUACAUAUGUACUAUAUCUUCUUAAUCCAUUAGUCUGUCAGUGGACAUUUAGGUUGUUUCUAUGUCUUGGCUAUUGUGAAUAGUGCUGCAAUGAAUGUAGGGGUGCAAUUAUAUUUAGAAUGAAAGUUUUGUCUGGAUAUUUGCCCAGGAUUGAGAUUGCUGGAUCAUACGAUAGUUCUCUAUUUAGUUUUCAGGGGAAUCUGCAUCCUUUUUUCCACAGUGAUUGUACCAAUUUACAUUCCCACCAACAGUGAAGAAUGGUUCCCUUUUCUCUGCACCCUCUCCAGCAUUUGCUAUUUGUAGAACUGUUAAUGAUGGCUAUUCUGACCAGUGUGAGGUGAUAUCCCAUCGUAGUUUUGGUUUGCAUUUCUCUAAUAAUUAGUGAUGUUGAGCAUCUCUUCAUGUGUUUCCUGGCCAUCCGUAUGUCUUCUUUGGAGAAAUAUCUAUUUAGGUCUUCUACCAUUUUUUUGUUGUUGGAUUGUUUUGUUGUUGUUGUUGUUGUUGAGUUGUCUGAGUUGUUUGCAUAUUUUGAAGAUUAGGCUCUUGUGGGUUGCAUUGUUUGCAAAGAUUUUUUCCCAUCUGAGGGUUGUCUUUUUGUUUUUUGAAUGCUUUUCAUUGCUGCAGAAGUUUUUGAGUUUAAUUAGGUCCCAUUGGUUUGUGUUUUUACUAUCAUUAUUCUAGGAGAUGGAUCAAACAAGAUGUUGCUGUGAUUUAUGUCAAA